rnacentral:rRNA from 1 species
AGUGAACGCUGGCGGUAGGCCUAACACAUGCAAGUCGAACGGCAGCACAGUAAGAGCUUGCCCUUACGGGUGGCGAGUGGCGGACGGGUGAGGAAUACAUCGGAAUCUACUUUUUCGUGGGGGAUAACGUAGGGAAACUUACGCUAAUACCGCAUACGACCUACGGGUGAAAGCAGGGGAUCUUCGGACCUUGCGCGAUUGAAUGAGCCGAUGUCUGAUUAGCUAGUUGGCGGGGUAAAGGCCCACCAAGGCGACGAUCCGUAGCUGGUCUGAGAGGAUGAUCAGCCACACUGGAACUGAGACACGGUCCAGACUCCUACGGGAGGCAGCAGUGGGGAAUAUUGGACAAUGGGCGCAAGCCUGAUCCAGCCAUACCGCGUGGGUGAAGAAGGCCUUCGGGUUGUAAAGCCCUUUUGUUGGGAAAGAAAAGCAGCAGGUUAAUACCCCGCUGUUCUGACGGUACCCAAAGAAUAAGCACCGGCUAACUUCGUG